rnacentral:rRNA from 1 species
UGGGGAAUAUUGGGCAAUGGGGGAAACCCUGACCCAGCAACGCCGCGUGAAGGAAGAAGGCUUUCGGGUUGUAAACUUCUUUUAUGGGGGAAGAAAAAAAUGACGGUACCUCAUGAAUAAGCCACGGCUAACUACGUGCCAGCAGCCGCGGUAAUACGUAGGUGGCAAGCGUUGUCCGGAUUUACUGGGUGUAAAGGGCGCGUAGGCGGGAUAGCAAGUCAGGUGUGAAAUCCGGGGGCUUAACCCUCGAACUGCACUUGAAACUGUUAUUCUUGAGUGAUGGAGAGGCAAGCGGAAUUCCUAGUGUAGCGGUGAAAUGCGUAGAUAUUAGGAGGAACACCAGUGGCGAAGGCGGCUUGCUGGACAUUAACUGACGCUGAGGCGCGAAAGCGUGGGGAGCAAACA